rnacentral:rRNA from 1 species
AAACUCUCGUUAAGGAACUCGGCAAAGUGACCCCGUAACUUCGGGAGAAGGGGUGCUGACUUUUAGUCAGCCGCAGUGAAUAGGCCCAAGCAACUGUUUAUCAAAAACACAGCUCUCUGCUAAAUCGUAAGAUGAUGUAUAGGGGGUGACGCCUGCCCGGUGCUGGAAGGUUAAGAGGAGGGUUUAGCGUAAGCGAAGAUCUGAAUUGAAGCCCCAGUAAACGGCGACCGUAACAAUAACGGUCCUAAGGUAGCGAAAUUCCUUGUCGGGUAAGUUCCGACCCGCACGAAAGGCGUAAUGAUUUGGGCACUGUCUCAACGAGAGACUCGGUGAAAUUUUAGUACCUGUGAAGAUGCAGGUUACCCGCGACAGGACGGAAAGACCCCAUGGAGCUUUACUGCAGUUUGAUAUUGAGUAUCUGUACCACAUGUACAGGAUAGGUAGGAGCCUAUGAAAUCGGGACGCCAGUUUCGAUUGAGGCGCUGUUGGGAUACUACCCUUGUGUUAUGGCUACUCUAACCCGGUAGGUUAAUCAUCUACGGAGACAGUGUCUGACGGGCAGUUUGACUGGGGCGGUCGCCUCCUAAAAGGUAACGGAGGCGCCCAAAGGUUCCCUCAGAAUGGUUGGAAAUCAUUCGCAGAGUGUAAAGGUAUAAGGGAGCUUGACUGCGAGAGCUACAACUCGAGCAGGGACGAAAGUCGGGCUUAGUGAUCCGGUGGUUCCGUAUGGAAGGGCCAUCGCUCAACGGAUAAAAGCUACCCUGGGGAUAACAGGCUUAUCUCCCCCAAGAGUUCACAUCGACGGGGAGGUUUGGCACCUCGAUGUCGGCUCGUCGCAUCCUGGGGCUGUAGUCGGUCCCAAGGGUUGGGCUGUUCGCCCAUUAAAGCGGCACGCGAGCUGGGUUCAGAACGUCGUGGGACAGUUCGGUCCCUAUCCGUCGCGGGCGUAGGAAAUUUGAGAGGAUCUGCUCCUAGUACGAGAGGACAGAGUGGACUUACCGCUGGUGUACCAGUUGUCUCGCCAGAGGCAUCGCUGGGUAGCUAUGUAGGGAAGGGAUAAACGCUGAAAGCAUCUAAGUGUGAAACCCACCUCAAGAUGAGAUUUCCCAUAACAUUAAGUUAGUAAGAGCCCUGAGAGAAGAUCAGGUAGAUAGGUUGGAAGUGGAAGUGUGGCGACACAUGUAGCGGACCAAUACUAGUCGCUCGAGGACUUAUCCG